AGAGUUUGAUCCUGGCUCAGAUUGAACGCUGGCGGCAUGCUUUACACAUGCAGGUCGAACGGCAGCACGGGCUUCGGCCUGGUGGCGAGUGGCGAACGGGUGAGUAAUGCAUCGGAACGUACCCAUUUGUGGGGGAUAACUACGCGAAAGCGUGGCUAAUACCGCAUACGCCCUGAGGGGGAAAGCGGGGGAUUCUUCGGAGCCUCGCGCAAAUGGAGCGGCCGAUGUCAGAUUAGCUUGUUGGUGAGGUAAAGGCUCACCAAGGCGACGAUCUGUAGCGGGUCUGAGAGGAUGAUCCGCCACACUGGGACUGAGACACGGCCCAGACUCCUACGGGAGGCAGCAGUGGGGAAUAUUGGACAAUGGGCGCAAGCCUGAUCCAGCCAUGCCGCGUGUGUGAAGAAGGCCUUUUGGUUGUAAAGCACUUUAAGCGAGGAGGAGGCUACUUGGAUUAAUACUCUAGGAUAGUGGACGUUACUCGCAGAAUAAGCACCGGCUAACUCUGUGCCAGCAGCCGCGGUAAUA
rnacentral:rRNA from 1 species